rnacentral:rRNA from 1 species
UACAGGGGGGGCAAGCGUUGUUCGGAAUUACUGGGCGUAAAGGGUUUGUAGGUGGCUUGCUCAGUCAGACGUGAAAUCCCUCAGCUUAACUGGGGAACUGCGUCUGAUACUAGCGAGCUUGAGUUCCGGAGAGGAAGGCAGAAUUCCCGGUGUAGCGGUGAAAUGCGUAGAUAUCGGGAGGAAUACCAGUGGCGAAGGCGGCCUUCUGGACGGAUACUGACGCUGAGGCGCGAAAGCCAGGGGAGCAAACGGG